CGCCUUUGCUGCGAAGGCUAAAUGGCUGAAAGAGCUGGAGCUUGUGUUUUUGUUCUGCUGAUUGCAGUGCUACUACAAAUACAGACUGUUUUUUCUCUACAAAUGCGUGACCGUUCACCACGUCUGCGUUGGACUC